CAGUGCAGAGUUGUGGAACCUAAGCCUCUGAGUUCCACAGCCAGUCUGGGAGGCUAAAAGGAAGGAGAUUACAAAAGGAUUGGGAAGGCUGGUGGGGAGGAACCACUAAAUGUGAAAAGGGAUGAGGGAGGCAAAAGGGGAGGAGUUUCCAAAAUUGCGAAGGGGGCUGAUAUUCUUGAGCUACUGACUUUUGUGUGAAUGUCCCAGACCAAGAAGGCGACAGAGAGGCAGGCUUUGCAGGAAAAAGGGAAUUGAGAGUCUGGGGGGGUGUGACAGGGUGUUGGGGGUCAUAGAGAGAGGGAGAAACUGGAUUCAGGAUUUUUUUGUGUGGGUGUGUGUGUAAUUGAAAGUUUAAGUAUCUCUGUAUAUAUCACUGGGAUUGUAUUUUGGAGAGUAAUCUCUGAGCUUCCUUAAGGAUAACUCUUCCUGGAGUGUUUUUUAAAAAGACUUGAUGGGAGAAAGGUUACAAAAUUGAGCUAAUAAAUAUGAUUUAAAGCUUGA